UGGUAAUGAAUUGAGUAGCAGAAGUUUGGGGGGAGGGGGGAAAAAAAAAAAACGCUCUGAAAUCACCACUGACACUGCAAUUAAAUGAAAAUCUAGACUUAAUCUGGAUCCAGGCAACAGCCCAGAUGCUUUUGCCCCUGUACAUUUCCAUAUUUAUCACAUAUUUGACAUGAAGUGCUUGGCUUGGCCUCAGUGAGACCCUCAUUAUGUCCCACUCAUGGCGCGUCGACAUUUCUGUCCGCCAAUGGCGUAGUCCGUCUGGGAGAAGGGGGCCGCAUGGGCAUUCCAGGCAACAGCGGGGGCGGAGGGGCAUGGAUGUAGCCUGCAGGAGGCAGAGUCUUGCUCAGAGUGCCAUAGGGUGCAGCAUGAGGCAGUGCCAGGCGUGGGAACAGCGGGCUGGCAUAGGGUGCGGGCAGGAGGCCGGGAUGUGCCAGCUGGGUCUCAAGGGUGGCGUGGUGGUGCAGUGCCAGCAGGCGGCUCCUCUCGCUCUCCUCACGCAGCAGUGCCAGGCGAUGGCGCUCCUCCAGCUGGCACCUCUGCUGCUGUUCCAGCACCAGCGGGUGGAGGAGCGGCUCACGUGGGUAAACACGCUGCAGUGGGUCACCCCUCAGCAGCAGGUCCUUGGCAACGGGGUCUUUUUGAGAUAUGUCCAGACCACGGCUCAUACUCCGAAUUGGAUCCCAAUGCUGUGGAGUGUAUGGAAAUCGCUCAGUACCAGACAGUGGGCUCAUCCCAACAAGGGGCGUCAUUAAGCGAGUCCUUUCCAGGCUGGUUGGAAAUCCUGUCAUUCCUAGAGGCACAGGAAUGGAUGACAUGGACAAAGGAUGCAUGCUUGGGGUUCUUCGGUCCUGCACUGGUUUUUCCAAGACUUUAGAAGGUGGUUUAAUUUCAGGAGAGUCCCGAUUCUCUCUCCUCUCCUCCUUUACUUUAACAUGGACACUCUUUGUAUGCUCAUGUUCUAGUCUACUCCUCUUUGCAUCUGGCUCCCACUGUGAUCCAUCACUACUGCGCCUCUCAACUCGAAUUCUUUGUUGCUGUGGGGACAAUGUGUUCUCAGAAGUAGCCUUCUCCUCUGUAGGAUGCUGAUCACCCUUAGCAGUUUUCUCCUUCUUCUCUGGCUGACUGUCCUUGUGCCUCUGAUCCUCUGUCUCUCCACUCUGAGUAGGGGGUUCCUGGGAUUGUACUCGUUCUCGAGCUCUGUCUUUGUCUUUUGGCUCAGGAGUGUCUCUAGAAGAGGGUACUGUUUGCUUAUGACUCUGUGGGCUUGUGUUAGCAGGUGACAGGUGUCUCACAUUCAACUUCUCUUUUGUGUCCCUGCAAAAAGGAGGUAAAGCAAUAUAAGCACAAUAUGUGUGGGUCAAAGUCUAUUAAUACUACUAAAAACCUAUAUACACAAUUCUAUAUUACUGAGCUGUGUCAAAAGUACAAACAGGAAACAAACACUAUAUGGCCAAAGGUUUGUGGACACCUUCCCAUCACACCCAUAUGCUGGUCUUCCCCAAACUGUUUCCACAAAUUUGAAAGCAUAUGCGCACAAAAUUGUAUAGGAUGCUUUUUGCAUGCUGUAGCUUUACAGUUUCCCUUCAGUGAAACUACUAGGCCCAAACCUAUUCCAGUAGGACAGUGCACCUGUGCACAAAGCAAAGCCCAUGAGGACAUGGUUUUUCAAAGGUUGGAGUGGAAGAACUCAAGUGACCUGUACAGAGCCCUGACCUCAACUCCAGUGAACACCUUUGAGAUGAACUGGAACACCCUUCAGAUCACCUCACCCCAAAUUAAUACCUGACCCCAUGAAUUAUCUUAUGGCAGUAUGGGCUAAUCUCCACAGCCAUGCUCCAAAAUCUAGUGGAAAGCCUUCCCAGAAUAGAGGAGGUGAUUAGAACAGCAAAGAGGGAACUAAAUGUGAUGUCAUGUUCAACAUGUACAGAUGAGUGCCUAUGGUGUCCAUUCCCACUAAACAGAAUGGGUAAAAAAAAAUAAUAAUUUGAGACCUUUCAUGCUCUUCUUUGUUAAAUACAAAGUCUCUUUUGUCCAUUACUCUUUCCAGUUCAGGGGGCUGGGGCCAAGCAGGGGGUGUAGGGAAAGAGGAGGGUGUCUGCUGCAGCCUGUUCCAGGGCUCCUGGGGUCCUGCUGAAGAUGGAGCUGCUUUACUAUCUUUACUGCCAUGUGCAGAACUUGGUGCUGUUUGGAACAAAGAUUGAAAUAUAACAGAGCCCCAUGACUUACCAGCACUGGAAAAGAUGGUGGAAGGGCGGGGUAAGUCACGUGGGUGCUGGAUCAUUCCUAAGAGGCCUGAACCAGAAGGUCGAAUCAGGAACUCUGGCUUCAACCCAAAGUCUAGCUUGUGUGGCUCAUUUUGCAUCUGCUUCUGAAAAGCACACAGACAAGAAAGGGGCUUAACGUUCUAGUAGCUAUGACAGAAUCCCAAGCUCAGCGAUCUGGUAAACACAGAUGGACAAAGGCGGAAGGAACAAUAGCUUCCAAAACAAACAUAAGAGUCGUGCUACAGUGCCAGUGUUUGAUCUGCUAACAUACUUUCAUUUUCUGCUGAUGAUGGUACACCUGCCAUGCAAUGUGAACAUGCAUCGCACACCAUUUCCCCGGCUUCUGUAAAACAAAUACAAGGAAAUUACUGUAUUUCCAAUUUGUACAGACAGCUGAAUAAAGCUUUAUCUGGGAGACAGCUCUUACCUUUGGUGUAGGACACGCCGAAUCCAACAACUGAAAAAGGAUUAUAAAUAAUAUUUACUCCGUGGCCCCUGCGUACGUUAAAUCAACUUCACUGAAAUUAUCCAAAUGUUCCUUGACAUAUACAUUACAUUGUUCAAAUAGUAGAUUUAUUCAUUUAAACAUGUUCUCGGAGCAGAAGUACCAUGAUCAGUUUAGUUUGGUAAUGAGCCAAUUUCACAGCUGUGUAUAGUAACUGCAUACUAAAGCUAUAAGUAGCUACAUGCCAAUAUUAUGCAAAAGCUUACUCUGGAUUCCUUCUGUAUGAGUGGACGAGGCAUUGCUCCUGGUCCAGGAACUACAUCGAGUGGGUUGGAGGCCUAGUGUUACAAAUCACAAGUCACACAAAGCAUACUGUAUAAUGGAAUACACCAAAAUAUUUUUAAAUUGGUCUUUUUGAUUCUUUUGGCCAGCCAAUAAAAUUUCUCACAGAAAGGUUAUGAA